rnacentral:rRNA from 1 species
AUUGAACGCUGGCGGCAUGCCUUACACAUGCAAGUCGAACGGCAGCACGGGUGCUUGCACCUGGUGGCGAGUGGCGAACGGGUGAGUAAUACAUCGGAACAUGUCCUGUAGUGGGGGAUAGCCCGGCGAAAGCCGGAUUCAUACCGCAUACGAUCUACGGAUGAAAGCGGGGGACCUUCGGGCCUCGCGCUAUAGGGUUGGCCGAUGGCUGAUUAGCUAGUUGGUGGGGUAAAGGCCUACCCAGGCGACGAUCAGUAGCUGGUCUGAGAGGACGACCAGCCACACUGGGACUGAGACACGGCCCAGACUCCUACGGGAGGCAGCAGUGGGGAAUGUUGGACAAUGGGCGAAAGCCUGAUCCAGCAAUGCCGCGUGUGUGAAGAAGGCCUUCGGGUUGUAAAGCACUUUUGUCCGGAAAGAAAUCCUUGGCCCUAAUACGGUCGGGGGAUGACGGUACCGGAAGAAUAAGCACCGGCUAACUACGUG